rnacentral:rRNA from 1 species
GGCGGCGUGCUAUACAUGCAAGUCGAACGAGCUCUCCCAAAUUGAUUUUAUGCUUGCAUAAAUGAUUUUUGGAUUCGGAGCGAGUGGCGAACUGGUGAGUAACACGUGGGUAACCUGCCCCGAAGCGGGGGAUAACAUUUGGAAACAAGUGCUAAUACCGCAUAAUUAGUUGGAACCGCAUGGUUCCAACUUGAAAGAUGGCUCUGCUAUCACUUUGGGAUGGACCCGCGCCGUAUUAGUUAGUUGGUGAGAUAAAAGCCCACCAAGACGAUGAUACGUAGCCGACCUGAGAGGGUAAUCGGCCACAUUGGGACUGAGACACGGCCCAGACUCCUACGGGAGGCAGCAGUAGGGAAUCUUCCACAAUGGACGAAAGUCUGAUGGAGCAACGCCGCGUGAGUGAUGAAGGUUUUCGGAUCGUAAAACUCUGUUGUUAAAGAAAAAAAACUGUUAGAGUAACUGUUAACACUUUGUCGGAAUUUAAUCAGAAAGCCUAGGCUAAUUACGUGCCAGCAGCCGCGGUAAUACGUAGGUGGCAAGCGUUGUCCGGAUUUAUUGGGCGUAAAGCGAGCGCAGGCGGUUUUGUAAGUCUGCUGUGAAAGCCCUCAGCUCAACUGAGGAAGUGCAGUGGAAACUACAAAACUUGAGUACAGAAGAGGAAAGUGGAACUCCAUGUGUAGCGGUGAAAUGCGUAGAUAUAUGGAAGAACACCAGUGGCGAAGGCGGCUUUCUGGUCUGUUACUGACGCUGAGGCUCGAAAGCAUGGGUAGCGAACAGGAUUAGAUACCCUGGUAGUCCAUGCCGUAAACGAUGAAUACUAGGUGUUGGAGGGUUUCCGCCCUUCAGUGCCGCAGCUAACGCAUUAAGUAUUCCGCCUGGGGAGUACGACCGCAAGGUUGAAACUCAAAGGAAUUGACGGGGGCCCGCACAAGUGGUGGAGCAUGUGGUUUAAUUCGAUGCUACGCGAAGAACCUUACCAGCUCUUGACAUCUUCUGCCAACCCAAGAGAUUGGGCGUUCCCUUCGGGGACAGAUUGACAGGUGGUGCAUGGUUGUCGUCAGCUCGUGUCAUGACAUGUUGGGUUAAGUCCUGCAACGAGCGCAACCCUUAUUAU